rnacentral:rRNA from 1 species
GGGGAGUCUUACAUGCAGUCGAACGGAGGAUGUACGGUGAAGAGAUUUCGGUCAAUCAUGUGCAUCUUUAGUGGCCGUCGGGUGAGUAACGCGUGGGUAACCUGCCUUACACAGGGCGAUAACACUUAGAAAUAGGUGCUAAUACCGCAUGAGCGCACAGGACCGCAUGGUCGAGUGUGAAAAACUGAGGUGGUGUAAGAUGGACCCGCGUCUGAUUAGCUAGUUGGUGAGGUAACGGCCCACCAAGGCGACGAUCAGUAGCCGGCCUGAGAGGGUGGACGGCCACAUUGGGACUGAGACACGGCCCAAACUCCUACGGGAGGCAGCAGUGGGGGAUAUUGGACAAUGGGGGGAACCCUGAUCCAGCGACGCCGCGUGAGUGAAGAAGUAUCUCGGUAUGUAAAGCUCUAUCAGCAGGGAAGAAAGAAAUGACGGUACCUGACUAAGAAGCCCCGGCUAACUACGUGCCAGCAGCCGCGGUAAUACGUAGGGGGCAAGCGUUAUCCGGAUUUACUGGGUGUAAAGGGAGCGUAGACGGUUAUGCAAGUCUGGAGUGAAAGGCGGGGGCCCAACCCCCGGACUGCUCUGGGAACUGUAUAGCUAGAGUGCAGGAGAGGCAAGUGGAAUUCCUAGUGUAGCGGUGAAAUGCGUAGAUAUUAGGAGGAACACCAGUGGCGAAGGCGGCUUGCUGGACUGUAACUGACGUUGAGGCUCGAAAGCGUGGGGAGCAAACAGGAUUAGAUACCCUGGUAGUCCACGCCGUANACGAUGAUUACUAGGUGUCGGAGGGCAUGGGCCCG